rnacentral:rRNA from 1 species
AUUGAACGCUGGCGGCAUGCCUUACACAUGCAAGUCGAACGGUAACGGGCCUUCGGGUGCCGACGAGUGGCGAACGGGUGAGUAAUACAUCGGAACGUGCCCGACCGUGGGGGAUAACGAGGCGAAAGCUUUGCUAAUACCGCAUACGAUCUACGGAUGAAAGCCGGGGACCGCAAGGCCUUGCGCGGACGGAGCGGCCGAUGGCAGAUUAGGUAGUUGGUGGGAUAAAAGCUUACCAAGCCGACGAUCUGUAGCUGGUCUGAGAGGAUGAUCAGCCACACUAGGACUGAGACACGGCCCAGACUCCUACGGGAGGCAGCAGUGGGGAAUUUUGGACAAUGGGCGCAAGCCUGAUCCAGCCAUGCCGCGUGCAGGAUGAAGGCCUUCGGGUUGUAAACUGCUUUUGUACGGAACGAAAAGCCUUCUUUUAAUACAGGAGGGUCAUGACGGUACCGGAAGAAUAAGCACCGGCUAACUACGUG